GAGUAGAAUGCCUCCCCACUCAGAUUUAAAAAAAAUGAACGAAAAAACUUAAGAAUGUUUUUUCUUUUGUUAGCGAGCAGCAUCUUCAACCCAACUGCAUUGCAACUAAUGCUAAAAAAAAUAAUGAAUCCUAUUACUGAACAAAUACUGAAUCCUGUCCUGCUGAUUCUUUUAAUUACCGAUUGUUAUGCUACGGAUAAUGAUUAUAGCAUUUAAGUUCUCAAGUAUAAAUGCACUCUUUAUCCAUCCUUAAACCUGAUAAAAAUCCAACUAGUCGGUUUUCAUGACCGUGUAGGAACCCUGCUCACAGUAUGUCACAUGACGAUCUUGCUUUAUCAGUUCACGCACAGCAUCGAUCUUUUCUGGCACAACAACGGAUUUUGGACGACCUGCACGGGAUUCAUCCUGGAUCGAACAUC